rnacentral:rRNA from 1 species
UGAGGAAUAUUGGUCAAUGGGCGAGAGCCUGAACCAGCCAAGUAGCGUGCAGGAUGACGGCCCUAUGGGUUGUAAACUGCUUUUAUAUGGGAAUAAAGUGAGGGACGUGUCCCUUAUUGCAUGUACCAUACGAAUAAGGACCGGCUAAUUCCGUGCCAGCAGCCGCGGUAAUACGGAAGGUCCAGGCGUUAUCCGGAUUUAUUGGGUUUAAAGGGAGCGUAGGCUGUCUAUUAAGCGUGUUGUGAAAUUUACCGGCUCAACCGGUGGCUUGCAGCGCGAACUGGUCGACUUGAGUAUGCAGGAAGUAGGCGGAAUUCAUGGUGUAGCGAUGAAAUGCUUAGAUAUCAUGACGAACUCCGAUUGCGCAGGCAGCUUACUGUAGCAUAACUGACGCUGAUGCUCGAAAGUGCGGGUAUCAAACAGG